CCCUUAGAUGUUCUGGGCCGCACGCGCGCUACACUGACGAAUGCAACGAGCUUAUAACCUUGGCCGAAAGGUCUGGGUAAUCUCCAAAUUUCGUCGUGAUGGGGAUAGAUUAUUGCAAUUAUUAAUCUUCAACGAGGAAUGCCUAGUAAGCGCAAGUCAUCAGCUUGCGUUGAUUACGUCCCUGCCCUUUGUACACACCGCCCGUCGCUCCUACCGAUUGAAUAGUCCGGUGAAGCGUUCGGACCGUGGCCUUUGGACGGUUCGCCGUCUGUUGGCUGCGGGAAGUUCGUUAAACCUUAUCAUUUAGAGGAAGGAGAAGUCGUAACA
rnacentral:rRNA from 1 species